UUUUCUAUCUCAACAAAAACAGAAAAGGAAGAGAGAAGAGAAACAAAGAUGUAAAGAGACCCUUUUUGCAGAGGUUUACAGUCACAACGUGUGGUAGGUCGGUGUAUCUGAAGUUGAGAGAGAUACGUGGUCACCGUUAUGGUGGUGGCCGACGAGAAAGAAAGAGGGAGUGGUGGUGGUUAAGGAGUGUGGUUGUGAGAUAGAGAGAAGUGAGAGAGAUCUGUUUGGACUUUGGAGAUGAAAAGAGAGUGGUUGUGAGAUGAAAUUUCUAAAAUGUCCAUUGCCACAUCAGCAGUGGUACAAAAGGGUGUAACAAAAGAGUGGUCCAUGUAUCUUUUUCCUUUUCUAAAAGGUCUCUUUUAAUCAUUGCAACUUUCAUAAUUUAUAUUUUGGAUAUUACUCGCACAAUUAAAAAAAAAUAAUUACAAAAGAAAUUUGAUAUGC
rnacentral:lncRNA from 1 species